rnacentral:rRNA from 1 species
UGCCAGCAGCCGCGGUAAUACGAAGGGGGCAAGCGUUGUUCGGAAUCAUUGGGCGUAAAGCGUAUGUAGGCGGCUAGAUAAGUCGGGCGUGCAAGCCCGUGGCUCAACCACGGAAUUGCGUCCGAAACUGUCUGGCUUGAGUGCAGGAGAGGGAAGCGGAAUUCCCAGUGUAGCGGUGAAAUGCGUUGAUAUUGGGAAGAACACCGGUGGCGAAGGCGGCUUUCUGGACCAAUACUGACGCUGAGAUGCGAAAGCGUGGGGAGUGAACAGGAUUAGAUA